AGAUAAAAUGGGGUGUAUUUUCUCUGGCUUUGCUAAUUUGCUUAUGAACUUUUAAAAAAGAUUUCUAAGACCUGCAAGUAACAUACCUUCUUUUGGGAAAAAAUCCAAGUAUUUUGGAGGCACUGGUAUUACAUACAUCACCUUUUAAAGUUCUCUGUGCUGCAGGCUGGAUAUCAGCCUGCAUAGCUCUGUGUUUCUGUACAACUGACUCCUGUAAAGAUGAAAAAUGUGAGGCGCCAGACUAAAGAGUCAGCUCAGCUUUUUCCAGCAUAGACAUUCACAUUUGCCUUUUUAAAAUCUUGACUCCCAUUCACACAUUCUAUUAUAUCAUUCCUCUAAAUGGAGCACGUGAAAACAAAUGUUCUCAUGCUGCUUAACAUUCUAAAGUAAGUUUUACCCACAGGGGUUUUGUGUUCUGCAGGAGAGGAACAGUUUUGAGAGUUGUCCUGAAUGACUUUUUAGUUUUUAUGCUACUUCGUGUCAAAAUUACACAGAACACAGCCUCAGCUGAUGCAGCUGAAGGAAUGCUGUUGCUUAGAGAAAAAACACAGCCCCAGCUUCUAAGGGAAGUUGUAUUUUGAGCGUGGAGAUCAAAGACUUCUUACGUGAAUAGCUCAAAGAAUUACUUCUUGAGAGAAUAUGGUUUUCAUAAUUUAUGCAUUUAUUGAAAUUUAAUUUAUAUUAAUAAAGAAUUUAAUGAAUAACAAAACUGGGAUUUUCCUAAUGGAUUACUUUUAAGUGUGAAGCAUUGAGAAGUGCAGACACCAAGAUUAAUAUCCAGCUUGUUGUAGCCUGGACCUGUGCAAUGUGACAUUGAAGUAUUUCAGAAUUCCAAAUUUUUUUUCCCUAGCAAAGCCUCACAUAUAAGGUGAGAAAAUAUUUCUUCUGAAAUUUAUGAAAAUUAGUUUAUUACCUUAUAUCUGGUAUUGGUGGAGAAGAAAGAGAUGUUGUAAUGGGAUGCAGCUUCAGCUGAGGUCUCAGUGUUAAGAGAUUUUGAUCCUGGUAGUGGCCAAGCACCUUUGGUUACCUCUCAGUGCACACCACAGCACUGACAGUGAGGAUGCAAAGAUCUGGCAAAAGCUCCAUCUGCUAUUAACACCUAAUGCACUACUCAGCAUGUUCCAGCCCCCUGGUAGCAGACAGGAUUUUGCAUGCAUUUCUGCCCCACCUCAAAAGCACCUAGCUGGAUAAUACUGUCUACAGCUUAGUUAUCAAUAUUUGUUUUCCAUCAGAAAGGCAUUUUUUCUAAUCAUAAUUCUUCUGAGGAACACAAGGUUCAGGAUUCAGCAAUUUACCCAGGUUGGUGCUCUACAAAGCCAAACAUUUUGUCAUUGCCAGCUGGAAAAAUGUCAGAGAUUUCUUUGGAUAUUACAAAAUAAUUGCAUUUGCAUUGAGCAGGCUUUUUUUCCUCCACCUAGACUUGGAUUGCACAACAUUAAGGCAGCAUAAAAUAUUUGCUUUCUGAUUCCACAUAAAGAACUUCAGCUUUCUUAGGAAACUUAGAGCUCUUUGGAAGCCAAGCUUUCCACAAUGCUCUUCAAGCCUCUAAAGGUGUUUGCAGAAUCUAAAUCAACAGUGAGAAGAGCUUUCUGGCUUUCCUUGUUGCACUGGCCAGCAUGGUGACCCUGGGGGAUGCAUCCUGCUUUACUGUACUUCAAGCUCCAGGGAAGGUCUACAGAGGUAGAAAUGAGGAAGAUGGUCUGACCUGAUUGCUCUGUGGGUGUACGUGGAAAAGAAAACUGUAUCCCUUUGGACACAUUGAGAGGACAGAAGGUUGCUACAAAUGUGACUGCAGUCAAGCUGCAAUGGAAUGCUGCUCCCUGUUUUUCACUCCUGUUUCUUAUGACAAAGAGAAAUGUAAAGUGGUUUUCAACAAGAAGCGCUGUGACUAUGAUGUGGUGCAGAAGGACGACCCCUCAAAGAUGCUUUGCCAUCACAGAGAAGCACAAUGACAUGAGAAAAUCUCUUAAAGAAGAGCACUUCAGUAAUUGCCUUCUAACCUCUGAAUUGUCCUAAUUCCACUUACAAGAUGCAUAAUGAGAUAGAGUGUCUCAUUUCUGUCAAAAGGUCAUAUUCAUGUUCUUUAUAUUAGUUGUGAAGACUUUGUGUUUGAAGCAGUUUACAGAUGUUAACAUUUAAUUAAGUAGGAUUUUCAUUCUAUUAGUUAUCUUUGUUCAAGCUGUAUUUAUUUAUUUUUAAAUUAGAGCCUUAUUACCUGUAAGGUCCCAAGAGAUUCUGUGAAAUCUGAGUGCCAAUUUUCUUACAGAUUACUUUCUUAGUUCAAGAAGAUUUUUGAUUUGCUGCAGAACCAGGAAAAGUGUGAAUGAAUGACCAAGAAAAGAAAUCUAACACAGGCUUUGAAUCUCCUGAGAAUAUAUUCUUUAUGGUCCUGGGACUGGGAAGAACCAGCAUAUUUUUGUGAUUAGCACAUCCUUCCAGAAUUUAUCUGUGGGUGGAAAAACCCAUCUUCCACUGCAAGGGCACCUCCUCCACCACUUGUAGUUGAAGCAGAGUCUGAACAGUUCAGCACAAACAAAAGCUGACACUGGAGAAGAAAGAAAAUUAAUUCUGAUGGGUUUACCAGGCCAAGGAAAUGAAGAGCCUUGUCUCAUAGGCUCCAGAGAAUAAAUUGUGUUCACUGAGACCCAGAAAUUGCAUAUAAAUGUUUUAAAAAAGACAUUUUUAGUCUCAAUGUGCAAUUGUAUUUGUUUUUAUAUUACUAGAGUAGCUGCCUAUACUGAUAUUUCCUUCUUUCUUUUCCCUCUAAAUAAAAAUA